rnacentral:misc_RNA from 1 species
CUGCAUCUAUCGGAUCGUUUUAGAAACAUCAGUGGCCAACAAUCGUCAGGAUUGUUGAGCUGCAUUGGCGGGAUUUCGCCGUCUACGUUUCUCUUUCUUCGCGGACGAACACGCGCCAGGGGCUUAGCGCUGUGCGAAGGUUUGGCGCUUGUGCGAUGCAUUGGCGUGAGCCGAUUGUGCGAGCAUGUCCCUGAUCCUUCAUGGAAGGAGCGUUAGGGGCUUGUAGCUCAGUUGGUUAGAGCGCGCGCUUGAUAAGCGUGAGGUCGGAAGUUCAAGUCUUCCCAGGCCCACCAGCCUUCGCUGCUGCGCAGCUUCGGCUCGGCAGGCCUUUCUUGAACGAAGGCUGCUGCGCCGUAGCGCCGGCGAAGGCGAGCGCGAAAGAGCAUUCGUCUUCUGGUACGGGGCCAUAGCUCAGCUGGGAGAGCGCGUGCUUUGCAAGCAUGAGGUCGUCGGUUCGAUCCCGUCUGGCUCCACCAGAUGAAAUCGAAGAUCGAGAUGCCUCGAAUAAUCGUCCGCGAAACAUCACUUCGCAUGCGCAGUCCGGAUGGACGGCGUCAUGCGUGAUAUCUGACAUCGUAAAGAGGAGAUCGAUCCGAGUUUGGGAUCUGCAAAAGCAAUUUUGCGGAAUCUCACUCAUAAUCUCCAGGUCAUUUCGGCGCUCGCUCAUCGCAAGAUGGUCGGGUUGUAAAUGAUCUUUUUAGCGAAGCUUGACCGCCUCGCUAUCGGUUCGAUCUUACGAAGCAAGCUGGUCUUUCUAAUCAGUGUCCGGCUGCGCAUAGCAUUCAUCGAGGGUGCGUGCCUUUUGAUUUCGAUCUUGAGGCAAUUGCGCAGACAACAUUCUGCCGAGUGUGUGGACAUUGAUAAUGAGAGCAAUCAAGUGCCUUAAGGGUGUUCGGUGGAUGCCUUGGCGCUGAGAGGCGAUGAAGGACGUGCUACGCUGCGAUAAGCCGUGGAG